rnacentral:rRNA from 1 species
UGGGAACCUGCCCAGUGGUAGGGGAUAACCGCGGGAAACUGCGGCUGAUACCCUAUGUGUCCUAUGGGGCAAAGAUUUAUCGCCAUUGGAGGGGCCCGCGUCGGAUUAGGUAGUUGGUGGGGUAACGGCCUACCAAGCCUACGAUCCGUAGCUGGUCUGAGAGGAUGAUCAGCCACACUGGGACCGAGAUACGGCCCAGACUCCUACGGGAGGCAG